GCGGCGGUGCUGGAACGGUUUACAGGGCAGACUCAAACUCUGCUGCUCGCAAGGGCAUGUGGGUUCGAAUCCCACCCGCCGUACCA
rnacentral:tRNA from 1 species